AAAUGAAUAGACGGGGGCCCGCACAAGCGGAGGAACAUGUGGUUUAAUUCGAUGAUACGCGAGAAACCUUACCUGGGCUUAAAUUGCAAAUGACAGGAGCUGAAAGGCUCCCUUCUUCGGACAUUUGUGAAGGUGCUGCAUGGUUGUCGUCAGCUCGUGCCGUGAGGUGUCGGCUUAAGUGCCAUAACGAGCGCAACCCUUAUUGCUAGUUGCUAACAGGUCAAGCUGAGGACUCUAGUGAGACUGCCGUCGUAAGAUGUGAGGAAGGUGGGGAUGACGUCAAAUCAGCACGGCCCUUACGUCCAGGGCUACACACGUGUUACAAUGGGUGAUACAGAGGGCAGCUACCUAGCGAUAGGAUGCUAAUCCCACAAACUCACUCUCAGUUCGGAUCGAAGUCUGCAAUUCGACUUCGUGAAGCUGGAUUCGCUAGUAAUCGCGCAUCAGCCACGGCGCGGUGAAUACGUUCCCGGGCCUUGUACACACCGCCCGU
rnacentral:rRNA from 1 species